rnacentral:tRNA from 1 species
CUUUACAGGGAGACCAGAGAGGCUUUGAGGAAAGCUCUUUGCAUACUCAUCGAGACUCUCAAUCCCAGGUCGAAACUAAGAGCAACAGCAAAGUGCUUGUCAACUGAAAGGUUAAGGGGAAAAAGGGCUAUUAGCUCAGGUGGUUAGAGCGCACCCCUGAUAAGGGUGAGGUCCCUGGUUCGAGUCCAGGAUGGCCCAGGCAAAAAGCUCAUAGCAUCUCAUCUAGAAGCAAUCUAGAGAGAAUGCUGGCGAGUAGAAAGCCAGCAAAAGAACCUUGAAAACUGCAUAGUAACAGGUGAAAAAAGGUGCAAGCCGAGCACCAAACAAAAAAGAAAAUGGUCAAGCUAGAAACGGCUAACGGUGGAUACCU